rnacentral:rRNA from 1 species
UCCACAACACUGAGACACGAGACGAGGCCACUACGGUGGUGAAGCCAUUGAUGCCCUGCUUCCAGGAAAAGCCUCUAAGCUUCAGAUUACAAGUCAUCGUACCCCAAACCGACACAGGUGGUCGGGUAGAGAAUACCAAGGCGCUUGAGAGAACUCGGGUGAAGGAACUAGGCAAAAUAGAACCGUAACUUCGGGAGAAGGUUCGCUCUUGACAGUGAAGUCCCUUGCGGAUGGAGCAGUUGGGAGUCGCAGUGACCAGAUGGCUGGGACUGUUUAUCGAAAACACAGCACUCUGCAAACACGAAAGUGGACGUAUAGGGUGUGACACCUGCCCGGUGCCGGAAGGUUAAUUGAUGGGGUUAGCGCAAGCGAAGCUCUUGAUCGAAGCCCCGGUAAACGGCGGCCGUAACAAUAACGGUCCUAAGGUAGCGAAAUUCCUUGUCGGGUAAGUUCCGACCUGCACGAAUGGUGUAACCAUGGCCAUGCUGUCUCCACCCGAGACUCAGUGAAAUCGAAUUCGCCGUGAAGAUGCGGUGUACCCGCGGCUAGACGGAAAGACCCCGUGAACCUUUACUACAGCUUGGCACUGAACAUUGAACCUACAUGUGUAGGAUAGGUGGGAGGCUUUGAAGGCGUGACGCCAGUUGCGCUGGAGCCGUCCUUGAAAUACCACCCUUGUAUGUUUGAUGUUCUAACGCAGGGCCCUGAAUCGGGCUCGCGGACAGUGCCUGGUGGGUAGUUUGACUGGGGCGGUCUCCUCCCAAAGAGUAACGGAGGAGCGCGAAGGUUGGCUAAUCCUGGUCGGACAUCAGGAGGUUAGUGCAAUGGCAUAAGCCAGCUUAACUGCGAGACGGACAGGUCGAGCAGGUACGAAAGUAGGUCAUAGUGAUCCGGUGGUUCUGAAUGGAAGGGCCAUCGCUCAACGGAUAAAAGGUACUCCGGGGAUAACAGGCUGAUACCACCCAAGAGUUUAUAUCGACGGCGGUGUUUGGCACCUCGAUGUCGGCUCAUCACAUCCUGGGGCUGAAGUCGGUCCCAAGGGUAUGGCUGUUCGCCAUUUAAAGUGGUACGCGAGCUGGGUUCAGAACGUCGUGAGACAGUUCGGUCCCUAUCUGCCGUGGGCGUUGGAUGAUUGAAGGGAGUUGCUCCUAGUACGAGAGGACCGGAGUGAACGAACCUCUGGUGUUCGGGUUGUCACGCCAGUGGCACUGCCCGGUAGCU